UACGGGGGGAGCAAGCGUUGUUCGGAUUUACUGGGCGUAAAGGGCGCGUAGGCGGCGCAACAAGUCACUUGUGAAAUCUCCGGGCUUAACCCGGAGCGGCCAAGUGAUACUGUCGUGCUAGAGUGCGGAAGGGGCUACUGGAAUUCUCGGUGUAGCGGUGAAAUGCGUAGAGAUUGGGAAGAACACCGGUGGCGAAAGCGCUCUGCUGGGCCGCAACUGACACUAAUGGACGAAAGCUAGGGGAGCGAAUGGG
rnacentral:rRNA from 1 species